AGGACCAGGGAUGUUCUCUGUUUAGUGAGUCCUCCAGAUCAGAGGCAGUAGGGAGGACCAGGGAUGUUCUCUGUUUAGUGAGUCCUCCAGAUCAGAGGCAGUAGGGAUGUUCUCUUGAUAAGUGCGUAAAUUAGACUAUUUCCUGUCCGGCUAAACAUUCUAAAUGUAACGAAUUUCAGGGAAAAUGUAAGGAGUAAAAAGUACAUUAUUUUCAUUAAAAAUGUAGUGGAGUGAAACCUAAAGUUGUCAAAAAUAUAAAUUAAGUACAGAUGCCCCCAAAAAACGUAAUAAGUACUUUACACCACUAGUAGUUAGUCUGUAGCAAUAACUGGGAGCAUAUAUACAUAGUUCAAAGAGAGAUGUUGCCAUGUUUGUGUCCACAGUACAAAACACAAGACUGACAGUCAGUGCCAGAAGUGGCCCCUGCUGUGUCCACAGUACAAACCACAGGACUGACAGUCAGUGCCAGAAGUGGCCCCUGCUGUGUCCACGGUACAAAACACAGGACUGACAGUCAGUGCCAGAAGUGGCCCCUGCUGUGUCCACGGUACAAACCACAGGACUGACAGUCAGUGCCAGAAGUGGCCCCUGCUGUGUCCACAGUACAAACCACAGGACUGACAGUCAGUGCCAGAAGUGGCCCCUGCUGUGUCCACGGUACAAACCACAGGACUGACAGUCAGUGCCAGAAGUGGCCCCUGCUGUGUCCACGGUACAAACCACAGGACUGACAGUCAGUGCCAGAAGUGGCCCCUGCUGUGUCCACGGUACAAACCACAGGACUGACAGUCAGUGCCAGAAGUGACCCCUGCUGUGUCCACGGUACAAAACACACAUUACUCAAAGAAAUAAACAAAAAAGCUCACAAAUUAACUGGAAAAACAGAAUAACAGAUUUGCAUCUAGGCUACAUUGACCUUUUCUCCUGCACUACCUCCGUUUUGCCAACAGAGGGCGCCAUUGUUUUACUGCUAGUGAAAUCUCCUAAUCAAUCUGCAGUAGAAAAAAUAAAGAAGUAGUUUUUUUUUUUAAUGCUUCACGUUUCAUCAGAGGAGAGGAGAGGAACGUGACCGGGCAGCUGCUGCUAGAACAUGAUUUGAUCGUCCUCGUUAAAUCAACAGUCAGACUAGAUGACUAAAGGUUCAAAUAAGAGUCUACUGUGUAUGGUUUAAUAAGUGCUUGGCUGGUUGGAUACAAGGAGAUUUGUUACGAAGAAAUAUGGACUCAUUUUGGGGAAAUAGAUUAGAUCAUUGUGUAGGACAGUUAUUCCCAGUGUAGCUAAACUAUUCACCUGCUCGGUGGUACUUGGAGCCAGCCAGCUAGUUGCUAUUCCAUUGCAUCAUGCUAAGUCAAGAGAUCUAGAGUCAGGAUGGUCAGGAUGUCCUGUUAAAACAGAAGCAGAGUCAGGAUGUCCUGUUAAAACAGAAUACAACAGGUGUAGUAGACCUUACAGUGAAAUGCUGAAUACAACAGGUGUAGUAGACCUUACAGUGAAAUGCUGAAUACAACAGGUGUAGUAGACCUUACAGUGAAAUGCUGAAUACAACAGGUGUAGUAGACCUCACAGUGAAAUGCUGAAUACAACAGGUGUAGUAGACCUCACAGUGAAAUGCUGAAUACAACAGGUGUAGUAGACCUUACAGUGAAAUGCUGAAUACAACAGGUGUAGUAGACCUUACAGUGAAAUGCUGAAUACAACAGGUGUAGUAGACCUCACAGCGAAAUGCUGAAUACAACAGGUGUAGUAGACCUCACAGUGAAAUGCUGAAUACAACAGGUGUAGUAGACCUCACAGUGAAAUGCUGAAUACAACAGGUGUAGUAGACCUCACAGUGAAAUGCUGAAUACAACAGGUGUAGUAGACCUUACAGUGAAAUGCUGAAUACAACAGGUGUAGUAGACCUUACAGUGAAAUGCUGAAUACAACAGGUGUAGUUGACCUCACAGUGAAAUGCUGAAUACAACAGGUGUAGU